AAGGUCGCGUAUACGGUCAAGAGUGCUAUCUGAUAUUUGCGUCCAACAACUAUUAUGGUGAUUUAAACUAAUGCGUCAUAGCGUCAUACGGGUAAUGCGUUACUGCGUAAUACUGGUAAUACCGAAGUGUUUGGAACAAUUGACAACUCUUUUAUUUCAUUUCAAUAAAAAUUAUUCAAAAUUUAUCAACGAAACUUGGUUCGGUGUCAUGUGAAAGAAUGCCUCAGAAGACCAGAAAAAGAUAGCGAUCAUUCUUUUUUUAUGGCCAAUGAAGAAAAAAAUAUCAUUUUGACAAACGUUGUAUCAAGAAAAAUACGGCACCAAGACGACUAUCAGUCCCUGAUGCUGUUCCCACUUUACUUCCACCUAAAAAUAUUUUGGAGCUACGCGUAUACCUGCUCAUAACACAAUGGAGAUGCCAAAGAAUGUGCCAACUGCUCCUUUGACAAAUUCACCGACAGUAAAUACAUUGGAAAGCAUCAAUAAUGAAGAAAUUGUAUUUAUACGCCCGGCUUCAAUAGGUGAAUGCCCACAUAAUGACAACGGCAUCAUUUUUGAAAUAAGCAAAGCAACUGAUAAAAAACCAGCUUUGAUUAAUAUUGAAACAAGCAGCCGUGUACAAGUUUUAUGAAGAGGCGAUGAAGAAAUCGAACAAGAGACGCAAUCACAAAAUUUAGAAGCGGAACAACCUUCGAAUACUGUGGAAACAGUAGUACAAAACGAUACUGCUGUGCCGAUAUUGCCAACUAACAGUGGAAAACUCAACUCAACAGCUGCAUCGGAAGAGUUGUUAUUCAUCAACAGUAUGGGAACGCAAAAUUUGGAAAUUAUGUGAGACUCCCAUGCACUGUAGUACACCUAAGA